UGUACGCUUUCUUUCUCAUUCUCUCUCAUCUCUCAUCAUUCAUUAUGUUGACCUUCUCUCUUCAAAGUUCAUUCGCAUUCUAAACAAAACCUAGAUCAAAAUUCCUCUGCCUCUUUAUCUCUCUCAAUCCUGUGUUAAAUCGAUCUUCAAGACGCAAUAAUCUUCCACUAACGUGAAUCGAUCUUUAUCUCUCUCAAUACUCUGCGACAAUCUUCAAUCGAUCUUCAAAUCCGAAUACCCUACUAUUCACGUUAAAGGUUUCGUUUUUCCAUCGAACUUGAAGGUUCAUGAUGUUAGUUUUUCGCCUUUAUACUCUGAUGUUGAUUCGGUGGGGCUUUGUGAUUGGUCCGAUAGUGAUUCUGCCGAAAGCAGAGAUUGGGAGGUGCUCUUGCUUGAUGAUGGUCCAACAGGCGAUGAGUUUUGUUAAAAAAAAUCAGGUUUUUUGGCAGUCAUAGGGGCUUCAGUGAAGAUGUAAUUGACCGGGAGCUUUGGUGCGCCUGAGGAUGCUUGAGUUCAAUGGCUCCCUCACCGAUGUUACUUUCUCUAAUGCCAUGAACACACGUCCUAUUUUCAGGUCAUGGUAAAUAUGGUUAUUUUCUAGCAAAGUGAUCCUACAAGUCUCGAUGAAUGCCUAGCCAACCUCCGCAAGGCCAACCAUACACUCUUUCUGCAAAGUCUUCAUAACUUCAUAUAUGAGCAGACAUGGACAUGACUCAAGCUACUCCUACCCAAGACUUAUUAGCCCUUGAUCUACAUGGCGCAGAGUGGAAAUUUAAGCAUAUCUUUAUGGGUCAACCAAGAAGGUAUCUACUUACAACAUGAUGGAGUACCUUAGUUACUAGCAAGAGAUUAGUGCUUGGGGAUUCAAUGGAGAUCUAUAAUACUCAUGAGUUGGCUUUUCUUAUUUAUUAGGCCACUCGGUUCACUUAAGUUACGUUUUAAUGAGUUGUAAAUCUUUACAGAUUUAUCCAACGUAAUUUAUUAAUAAAUGUUUAUUCUACGAUGUUUAUUUA